AAGUCGUAACAAGGUUUCCGUAGGUGAACCUGCGGAAGGAUCAUUAUUAAAUGUUACUCCGGUAACUUUAUAAUCCCUUAACACCUGUGCAUUUUGUCGCUUCGGCGAUAUUAUUCAAACAUCAGUGUAAUGAAUGUAAAUUAUCAUAACAAAUACAACUUUCAACAACGGAUCUCUUGGCUCUCU
rnacentral:misc_RNA from 1 species